AAAUGAUUCUUAUCUCUUUUUGGAGAGAUGGCCGAGAGGAUUAAAGCGUCGGAUUGCUAAUCCGUCG
rnacentral:tRNA from 1 species